AGGAUGAACGCUGGCGGCGUGCCUAACACAUGCAAGUCGAACGUCCUGUCUCGCAAGAGGCAGGGAGUGGCGGACGGGUGAGUACCACGUGGGUCAUCUACCGUGAGGUGAGGAAUACCGGCGAGAAAUCGCCGACAAGACCGCAUAGCCUCGGUGCAAGUCGAGGAAAGCUCUCUCGAGAGAGGGAGCGCCACACGAGGAGCCUGCGCCCGAUUAGCUAGCUGGUGGAGUAAUGGUUCACCAGGGCGACGAUCGGUAGCUGGUCUGAGAGGACGAUCAGCCACACUGGGAUUGAGAACGGCCCAGACUCCUACGGGGGCAGCAGUGAGGAAUUUUCGUCAAUGGGGGCAACCCUGAACGAGCAACGCCGCGUGCAGGAAGAAGGUUUUCGGAUCGUAAACUGCUUUUCGUCGGGGAAGAGAACGGACGGUACCCGAGGAAUCAGCCCCGGCUAACUACGUGCCAGCAGCCGCGGU
rnacentral:rRNA from 1 species